rnacentral:rRNA from 1 species
AUGCCAAACAAACACUGCUCCGAGGUACUAGACAAAAGCCUUCGAGAUAUUCUCAGGUUUAUUAAUGAAAAUUGUGAUGAAAAGCCAUUUGGGGGAAUGAUAGUAAUACUAGGAGGCGAUGUAAGACAAAUCCUGCCAGUUAUAACCAAAGGAAGGAUAGAGCGGAUAGUGAAUGCUUCAAUCAGAAGGUCAUAUAUGUGGAAACACUUAGAAAUAUUUGAGUUAACACAAAACAUGCGGCUGAAGUGUUUGUCACAUGAUCCAAUACAAAAGCAAUAA